rnacentral:rRNA from 1 species
AUACGUAGGUGGCGAGCGUUGUCCGGAUUUACUGGGCGUAAAGAGUGCGUAGGCGGAUGUUUAAGUGAGAUGUGAAAUACCCGAGCUCAACUUGGGUGCUGCAUUUCAAACUGGGCAUCUAGAGUGCAGGAGAGGAAAGCGGAAUUCCUAGUGUAGCGGUGAAAUGCGUAGAGAUUAGGAAGAACACCAGUGGCGAAGGCGGCUUUCUGGACUGUAACUGACGCUGAGGCACGAAAGCGUGGGGAGCAAACAGGAUUAGAUACCCUGGUAGUCCACGCCGUAAACGAUGGGUACUAGGUGUCGGGGGUCCAACCUCGGUGCCGCAGUAAACACAUUAAGUACCCCGCCUGGGGAGUACGGUCGCAAGAUUAAAACUCAAAUGAAUUGACGGG